rnacentral:rRNA from 1 species
UACGUAGGAGGCAAGCGUUGUCCGGAAUUACUGGGCGUAAAGCGCGUGUAGGUGGUGGGACAAGUCUGCUGUGAAAGCGCCUGGCUUAACCGGGCGAGGUCGGCGGAAACUGUUCGACUCGAGGACGGUAGAGGGGGGUGGAAUUCCACGUGUAGCAGUGAAAUGCGUAGAUAUCAGGAGGAACACCGAUGGCGAAGGCAGGUCUCUGGGCAUUAACUGACGCUGAGGAGCGAAAGCUAGGGGAGCGAACGGG